rnacentral:misc_RNA from 1 species
AGUAGCGAGAAUAUCAUUUCCCCAAAAUGGCGGAGCUAAAAUUCGAAGCUCCUCUUGCAAACUUUGAGGGAGAAGAAUGGAAUGAUUUCAAUGAAUUCCAAGCAGCUGAAAAAACUGGUCCACCAAGUGUUAAAAGCGACACAAGUGAUGAUCGAAAUUCAUUAAUGGACAAUUUCAAUGAAACUAUAUCAACAUCUUUAGAAGAUCUUGUGAAUACAUUCGACGAAAAAUUAACAAAAUGCUUUAAAAAUCAUCAAGUAAAGCCGGAAACAAACAGUCAUCAAACUAUUAAAACGCAAGAAGAAAUAAUAAAUGAUUGCCAUCGUCAUUGACCGAAUAACAGAGCUCAAUCGAUAAAGUUGGUGAAAGACAAACUGUCCAGUAUAUUUUACUUCAAAUGUCUGUAAAACUGACAGAGAGGGACAAGCAAGAGAAAUAGACAGGCAGGGAGAAAGACAUUUUAAGUACAAAUGUGGUGGACAAUUACGGGUAAUUAUGGCAAUGUCCUACCCAUAGACUGGUCAAAAUCCUACGCUCGUCAACUACAUACAGAGGCCUUGCAUCUUGAAGAGAAAAAGGACGAAGAAGAAUUGAAUUUGGAUUUAUCAGACGACGAAGAAUUACAAGCUGCAUUUGAUAUGCACUCACUAAUUGUAUCUUCUCUUCAUCACGAGCCUCUUUUUUCGGCUGAUGAUGUUAUCAAUGAGAUAGAAGGAAUUAUGAAGGAAGCAGAUGAUUUUGAAGAAGAGACUGCUAUGAACAAUAGAUCUUCAACUUCCAUAGAAUUGCUACAAUUAAAAUAUAAGUCAGAUAUAACACCGUCAAAUAUAGAAGGAAAAGAUACAUCUGCCCUGAAAUCCCUAUCGACCGUGGCUUUGAAUGAACUAUACGAGGAAUUAGAGGGAACUGUAAAAGAAUUAUCUGAAACUCUAAUACAACAAUUAGCUCUCCGAGACGAAUUAGAAUACGAAAAAGAGCUAAAAAAUCAAUUCAUAUCCCUUCUUCUUUCAUUGCAGAAAAAAAGAAGAGAAUUACCGAUUUCAUCGUCCGGUAUUAAGGUUCCUGGUUCUAAAAAAGUCAUCAGCCCAGACGGUUUUGGAAAAUAUCUGACAAUGUCUAUACCAUAUAACGCGGAGAGAGUAGGCCCACCAACCAACGAGGAAUUACAAAUUUUUAUUAAGAUUAUGAAGGCAAUGAACGAAGAUAGCCCUGUUGUCCCUACUUUACUGACUGAUUACAUACUCAAAGUGGUUUGUCCUACUAACAACUAG